ACGGGAGCUCGGGGAGCCGGGCUGAGAGGGCAGCCGAUCCGCUGCCGACCGUCAGAACCUGACCUGGGUAAUGCCAGCGGAGGAA
rnacentral:ncRNA from 1 species